GACUGAAAGGGAAAAAAUGGAAACUUCCCUAAUCAGGAAACACGAUUUGGUUUGCUUUCCCAAGAGGCAGACUAAAACCCUGUGCAUUUACUGAAGAGCUGGGUGACACUUUUCUGAGCACAUAAGAGAAUCCAGGAGAAGUGGCUGGCUAAUCUACUUAAGAGAUUGUCAACUGGCUUAAAACUUCGUGCUUUCACUGCAAAUCCUAGUAAGAAGAACGUUCUUCUGGCUGGUUUACUGACAAGCCUCUGUCCCCUUCUGAAGGCAAGCUGUUCUAGGGCAGGGACCCUCAUGCUCAUUCACCAAAUGCUUAUCGAGUGCCAACGACAUCAGAAAAAUAUCGGGUGAGGAUGAACACACACAAGAAAAGAGAGGAGGACUGGUGCCAACAAGGGGAUGAUGAUGUCUGCAGUGUGAAGAGCUCCAACUGGCCAUGUGUGAAAAGCAGGCGUAACGGGGUGGGGAAUAGAGAAGGCAGCAGGGAGGCCAGGGAGAGGGUGUUAGGGAUGGGUGUGGGGGGAGGAGAUGGUGGGAUGGGGGUGUGAGGG